rnacentral:rRNA from 1 species
GAUGAACGCUGGCGGCGUGCCUAAUACAUGCAAGUCGAGCGAACGGACGAGAAGCUUGCUUCUCUGAUGUUAGCGGCGGACGGGUGAGUAACACGUGGAUAACCUACCUAUAAGACUGGGAUAACUUCGGGAAACCGGAGCUAAUACCGGAUAAUAUUAUGAACCGCAUGGUUCAAAAGUGAAAGACGGUUUUGCUGUCACUUAUAGAUGGAUCCGCGCUGCAUUAGCUAGUUGGUAAGGUAACGGCUUACCAAGGCAACGAUGCAUAGCCGACCUGAGAGGGUGAUCGGCCACACUGGAACUGAGACACGGUCCAGACUCCUACGGGAGGCAGCAGUAGGGAAUCUUCCGCAAUGGGCGAAAGCCUGACGGAGCAACGCCGCGUGAGUGAUGAAGGUCUUCGGAUCGUAAAACUCUGUUAUUAGGGAAGAACAUAUGUGUAAGUAACUGUGCACAUCUUGACGGUACCUAAUCAGAAAGCCACGGCUAACUACGUG